rnacentral:misc_RNA from 1 species
AAAAUUUUCUGUGGAACUCCUUAAAAUCCUCAAAAGAAAGGCUAGGAAUCACUCGUGGGUCACCACCACUGUCAACACCAUAGGUAUUAUCAGGAAAAAGCGCCUGCUGGGAAGUUCGUCCCAGUAGAUUAUCAGGCUGAGAAUAAACUCCCUUCAUCUCAUUGAACACAACCCCUUUAAAAGUAAUUUCAUCUGAGGGGUCAUUCAGUUCAUAAUGCCAACCCUCUUGUUGAAAUGUUUGGAAAUCCUCCACACAUUUAGGGAAAAA